GUGAGUCAUCGAAUCUUUGAACGCACAUUGCGCUCUCUGGUAUUCCGGGGAGCAUGCUCGUUUCAGAAUCAUUAAUAAUCUCAAAGAAAUGGUCAUUGUUUUCGAACGAUGCCUUUUCUUUUGGAUGUGAGCCUCUUUGCCUUUUGGCAAUGGCUUGAAAAUGAUUGUGUUUGCACCAGCUAUAUGGCUCGGUUCUUAACAAGUGCAACAGAUGUUUACAUUUCGUUUUCUCUUGGAAAGGAUCGGUGUUGGAUACUGGUAGUUCACUCAAAACCAUAACUUUCGGUGAUCCCCGGAUCA
rnacentral:misc_RNA from 1 species